UCAGCUUUCAUAACCUUUAGUCUCUCCUUGGCUCCACUCAGCUCCCAAAGGAACGCUACCUUUUCUACAUUUUCUGAACAAAAGAAACAAAAGGAGAAGCGAAGGUACCUGGAUUUCGCACGGUGGUUCUUACAGUGUGCCCCUUCUCCAGCAGCGACUUCACUAGUGUCAGCUGGAUGAUGUUGAAAAGAGAAAGACCAUGGCUGUUCACAGCAAGUCAGAAUUCAAAAUUCCAAAUGGUCAGUGCAUCAAGCAAGGUUAUGUUAGCAUUCUCUCUUAAAGCUUCUCCUGAAUUUGGAAAUUUGGGGAAAAUGUAGGAAAUCAUUUGUAAUAACACGUCUUAUAGUAUGCUGUAAAAUUUUUCAACACCCUUGAAUUCGUUUUCAACACAAAACAUCUGUUGAAUCUAAAAGUAAUAUGUUGAAAUAUAGAACAAAUGUAGUGAAAGACGUUUUAAUUGUGUUGAAAUCUCUUUUCAACAUGAUUAUUUUUUAGUUUCAAUGCACUUCAAUCGCGUUUCAACACAUUUGUUCUAUCUAUUGAAAUUGCAUUGAAAUAUAAAAUAAAUUUGUCGAAAUAUGAUUUAAACAUGUUGAAAAACGCUACACUACCCUGCAGGCUACAGCAUGGGCUACUACAGCAGGGGAUAGAUAGCUUCAUUAGUUUUAGGUUCUAGACUAUAACUAUGGCAUGUGUUUUGCUUGGCUAAAUUGCCUACUUUUUUCACCCUAUCCCAUUUAUUUGGAAGACUGUGGUGGUCUUCAUUCCAUAAAACUUCCUGACUUUUCUAUCCGAACACCUUCCAUGAAUUAAAGUACUCUGUAGUGUGGUGGUUGGGGCUACCCACCUUAUUUGUAACAUGAUCUAUGACUCUACUGGAGGUCUCAAGUUACUAGAAAAUUACUACAUGGUCCCGGGAUUUCGGAUCAAUCACUAUUUGACACCUAAGUACACGUGUCAAAAAUGUAUAAUUUUUACUCAGCUUUCUCACGGGUCCUAAAGGAAGUGCCAGCAUUUACUUUAUUUGUGACAAUAACACUGAAUACUUCUUGUACUCUUAUCGGUCUUUUGGGCUUACUGAAUGCUGAUGUGUCAAACGUCAUGCCCAUAGUCAUACUUGAUUGUUUUCAUUGUGUUUAGGAAAGUUGGUGAUUGGAUAAUAAAGAGAAUUAUUCAGAUCCAUCCCAUGGAGCUUUCAGAGAGACUGAAGAUUGAAGGGAUGAAUCAGAAAGUGCUAGCUAAGUAAAGUCCUCUCAGCCACUUCACUAUACACACACACACACACACACACACACACACACACACACACACACAUUUAUAAGUCUUUGAAUCCUGUGAGUUCCACAAGGGGAGUUUACAGAUCCAAAGGAGUCACGGCUGUAAUUAGCAUUUCCUUACGUUGUACUUUCCUUGGCCGUUCUUUUGUUGUCAUCAACACUAGAAGAAUCAACUCGGUGAGAACACGAUAUGAGGUCUACUUAUAUAUGCUUGUUAGUCCGUGUAUGUUCCAACAAUUUCAUCUGUAGUACUUGUGCAUGUCUUUAUCUUUUCUCUUGUUUAGGAGCAAUAAAGUGCACAUGAGGAGUACUCUCAGAAAAAUAUAAGCUUGCCUCUCGUAGUUGAAAUUGGGUGGGUGAGCCAGACAUGUCAUGACAUUCUUAUGACCUAUUUUUUAAAGGUGACUUCGUACAUGUACCGAUUAUAAAUUCAAAAGUCAAAGAACGAAUAUUGAUAAAAAUCGAUCGUUCUAACAUGAAGUUCAACAAAGAAUGUCUCUUAUAUUCAGGCGGUAAAAACCUCAAUAUUUUUUUCUUUUUCUGGAAACAGGCUGAUUGCAAAAUAGAAUGAAAGAGAGCCGUGGUGGCUUAUUGUCACAUCAUGAGGUGGUCCACUGAUUUAAGAUGGCAAUGUCGUAUGCAAAGUUUUUAAUGGCAUGGACCACCUUACCCUAGUGUGGCAGAUGAUUGAUUAUAACCAUUCAACGGCACAUGCAUCAAGAUUAUUAAUAGGCCUCGCUUCUUGGUGUGAAUAAUGUCGUGAUAGAAUUUUGUAGUUGAUAUUAUGUACGAAGUAUUGAAUUGGUAAUUUGAAUGUAGUUGAUAUUAUUUUC